rnacentral:rRNA from 1 species
UGGGGGAUAUUGCACAAUGGGCGAACGCCUGAUGCCGCGACGCCGCGUGGGGGAUGAAGGCCUUCGGGUUGUAAACUUCUUUUGCUCUGAACAAGGCAUGCUAAUGGGUGUGUUGAGUGUAGGGGUUGAUUAGCGCCGGCUACCUACGUGCCAGCAGCCGCGGUAAUACGUAGGGCGCGAGCGUUGUCCGGAAUUAUUGGGCGUAAAGGGCUUGUAGGUGGCUGGUUGCGUCUGUCGUGAAAGCUCAUGGCUUAACUGUGGGUUUGCGGUGGGUACGGGCUGGCUUGAGUGCAGUAGGGGAGGCUGGAAUUACUGGGGUAGCGGUGGAAUGAGCAGAGAUCAGGAGGAAUACCGGUGGCGAAGGAGGGGCUCUGGGCUGUUACUGACACUGAGGAGCGAAAGAAUGGGGAGCGAAAAGG